rnacentral:misc_RNA from 1 species
GAUGAAGAACGCAGCGAAAUGCGAUAAGUAAUGUGAAUUGCAGAAUUCAGUGAAUCAUCGAAUCUUUGAACACACAUUGCGCCCGCCAGUAUUCUGGCGAGCAUGCCUGUUCGAGCGUCAUUUCAACCAUCAAGCCCCAGGCUUGUGUUGGAGCCCUGCGGCUGCCGCAGCCUCCCAAAACCAGUGGCGGGCUCGCUAUCACACCGAGUGCAGUAGUUUACUCUUCGCUCAGGGCGUGUGGCGGGUGCUAGCCGUGAAACCCCCAACUUCUCAAGGUUGACCUCGGAUCAGGUAGGAAUACCCGCUGAACUUAAGCAUAUCAAUAAGCGGAGGA